AUUGAACGCUGGCGGCAGGCUUAACACAUGCAAGUCGAACGGUAACAUGAAGAAGCUUGCUUCUUUGAUGACGAGUGGCGGACGGGUGAGUAAUGCUUGGGAAUCUAGCUUAUGGAGGGGGAUAACUACGGGAAACUGUAGCUAAUACCGCGUAGAAUCGAGAGAUGAAAGUGUGGGACCUUCGGGCCACAUGCCAUAGGAUGAGCCCAAGUGGGAUUAGGUAGUUGGUGAGGUAAAGGCUCACCAAGCCGACGAUCUCUAGCUGGUCUGAGAGGAUGACCAGCCACACUGGGACUGAGACACGGCCCAGACUCCUACGGGAGGCAGCAGUGGGGAAUAUUGCGCAAUGGGGGCAACCCUGACGCAGCCAUGCCGCGUGAAUGAAGAAGGCCUUCGGGUUGUAAAGUUCUUUCGGUAGCGAGGAAGGCAUUUAGUUUAAUAGAUCUAGGUGAAGGAC
rnacentral:rRNA from 1 species